rnacentral:rRNA from 1 species
CAGUAGCCGCGGUAAAACGUAGGUCCCGAGCGUUGUCCGGAUUUAUUGGGCGUAAAGCGAGCGCAGGCGGUUAGAUAAGUCUGAAGUUAAAGGCUGUGGCUUAACCAUAGUACGCUUUGGAAACUGUUUAACUUGAGUGCAAGAGGGGAGAGUGGAAUUCCAUGUGUAGCGGUGAAAUGCGUAGAUAUAUGGAGGAACACCGGUGGCGAAAGCGGCUCUCUGGCUUGUAACUGACGCUGAGGCUCGAAAGCGUGGGGCGCAAACAGGAUUAGAUACCCGUGUAGUCCCUGUCUCUUAUACA